rnacentral:rRNA from 1 species
AGGGUUUGAUCCUGGCUCAGAUUGAACGCUGGUGGUAUGCUUAACACAUGCAAGUCGAACGGUAACAUUGGAGCUUGCUCCAGAUGACGAGUGGCGGACGGGUGAGUAACGCGUAGGAAUCUGCCUAGUAGUGGGGGACAACAUGUGGAAACGCAUGCUAAUACCGCAUACGCCCUACGGGGGAAAGCGGGGGAUCUUCGGACCUCGCGCUAUUAGAUGAGCCUGCGUUAGAUUAGCUUGUUGGUGGGGUAAUGGCCUACCAAGGCGACGAUCUAUAGCUGGUCUGAGAGGACGAUCAGCCACACUGGGGCUGAGACACGGCCCAGACUCCUACGGGAGGCAGCAGUGGGGAAUAUUGGACAAUGGGCGCAAGCCUGAUCCAGCAAUACCACGUGUGUGAAGAAGGCCUGAGGGUUGUAAAGCACUUUCAAUUGGGAGGAAAACAGCUGGGUUAAUAGCCCUGCUCUUGACAUUACCUUUAGAAGAAGCACCGGCUAACUCCGUGCCAGCAGCCGCGGUAAUACGGAGGGUGCGAGCGUUAAUCGGAAUUACUGGGCGUAAAGCGUACGUAGGCGGUUAUUUAAGUCAGAUGUGAAAGCCCCGGGCUCAACCUGGGAACUGCAUUUGAAACUGGAUAACUAGAG